AUUGAACGCUGGCGGCAGGCCUAACACAUGCAAGUCGAGCGGAUGAAGGGAGCUUGCUCCUGGAUUCAGCGGCGGACGGGUGAGUAAUGCCUAGGAAUCUGCCUGGUAGUGGGGGAUAACGUCCGGAAACGGGCGCUAAUACCGCAUACGUCCUGAGGGAGAAAGUGGGGGAUCUUCGGACCUCACGCUAUCAGAUGAGCCUAGGUCGGAUUAGCUAGUUGGUGGGGUAAAGGCCUACCAAGGCGGCGAUCCGUAACUGGUCUGAGAGGAUGAUCAGUCACACUGGAACUGAGACACGGUCCAGACUCCUACGGGAGGCAGCAGUGGGGAAUAUUGGACAAUGGGCGAAAGCCUGAUCCAGCCAUGCCGCGUGUGUGAAGAAGGUCUUCGGAUUGUAAAGCACUUUAAGUUGGGAGGAAGGGCAGUAGGUUAAUACCUUGCUGUUUUGACGUUACCAACAGAAUAAGCACCGGCUAACUUCGUG
rnacentral:rRNA from 1 species